CCGUUGCCGGCGACCGGCGCACGGGUGAGUAACACGUAUGCAACCUGCCCGUGGCAGGGGGAUAAGCGGGGGAAACCCCGUCUAAUACCGCGUAACGCGGCCUAGGGACAUCCCAAGGCCGCCAAAGGGAGCAAUCCCGGCCACGGAUGGGCAUGCGGCGCAUUAGCUAGUCGGCGGGGUAACGGCCCACCGAGGCGACGAUGCGUAGGGGUUCUGAGAGGAAGGCCCCCCACACUGGUACUGAGACACGGACCGGACUCCUACGGGAGGCAGCAG
rnacentral:rRNA from 1 species